rnacentral:rRNA from 1 species
AACGCUGGCGGCAUGCCUAAUACAUGCAAGUCGCACGAGAAAGUCCUUCGGGAUGAGUAGAGUGGCGCACGGGUGAGUAAUACAUAGGAACGUGCCUUUAGGAGGGGAAUAACCACGGGAAACUGUGGCUAAUUCCGCAUGAUGUCGAGAGACCAAAGGGGGCCUCUUCUAAGCUCCCACCUAAAGAGCGGCCUAUGUCCCAUUAGCUAGUUGGCGGGGUAAAAGCCCACCAAGGCGACGAUGGGUAGCUGGUCUGAGAGGAUGAUCAGCCACACUGGGACUGAGACACGGCCCAGACUCCUACGGGAGGCAGCAGUAGGGAAUAUUGCACAAUGGAGGAAACUCUGAUGCAGCAAUGCCGCGUGAGUGAAGAAGGCUCUUGGGUUGUAAAGCUCUUUCGGCUGGGAAGAAGGGUCUGCUUGCGAACAGUUAGCAGAUUUGACGGUACCAGAAGAAGAAGCACCGGCUAACUCCGUGCCAGCAGCCGCGGUAAUACGGAGGGUGCAAGCGUUGUUCGGAAUCACUGGGCGUAAAGCGCACGUAGGCGGAAAUUUAAGUCAAUUGUGAAAUACCUAGGCUCAACCUGGGAGUGGCAGUUGAAACUGGAUUUCUUGAAUGCCUGAGGGGGUGGCGGAAUUCCUGGUGUAGAAGUGAAAUUCGUAGAUAUCAGGAGGAACACCUGAGGCGAAGGCGGCUGCCUGGCAGUGCAUUGACGCUGAGGUGCGAAAGUGUGGGGAGCAAACAGGAUUAGAUACCCUGGUAGUCCACACCGUAAACUAUGGAUACUAGGUGUUCGGAGUGUUAACCCUCUGAGUACCGUAGCUCACGCAUUAAGUAUCCCGCCUGGGAAGUACGGUCGCAAGGCUAAAACUCAAAGGAAUUGACGGGGGCCCGCACAAGCGGUGGAGUAUGUGGUUUAAUUCGAAGCAACGCGCAGAACCUUACCUGGGUUUGACAUCCCUUGACAGUCCCAGAGAUGGGAUCUCUCCUUCGGGAGCAGGGAGACAGGUGCUGCAUGGCUGUCGUCAGCUCGUGUCGUAAGAUGUUGGGUUAAGUCCCGCAACGAGCGCAACCCUUGCCCUUAGUUGCCAUCAUUGAGUUGGGCACUCUGAGGGGACCGCCGGUGUUAAACCGGAGGAAGGCGGGGAUGACGUCAAGUCCUCAUGGCCCUUACAUCCAGGGCUACACACGUACUACAAUGGCAGACACAAAGGGUUGCGAAGCCGCGAGGUGGAGCUAAUCCCAAAAACGCUGUCUCAGUCCGGAUUGAAGUCUGCAACUCGACUUCAUGAAGUUGGAAUCGCUAGUAAUCCCAGAUCAGCACGCUGGGGUGAAUACGUUCCCGGGCCUGCA